UGGGGAAUAUUGGGCAAUGGACGCAAGUCUGACCCAGCAACGCCGCGUGAAGGAAGAAGGCUUUCGGGUUGUAAACUUCUUUUGUCAGGGAAGAGAAGAAGACGGUACCUGACGAACAAGCCACGGCUAACUACGUGCCAGCAGCCGCGGUAAUACGUAGGUGGCAAGCGUUGUCCGGAUUUACUGGGUGUAAAGGGCGUGCAGCCGGGUCUGCAAGUCAGAUGUGAAAGGCAUGGGCUUAACCCAUGGACGGCAUUUGAAACUGCGGGUCUUGAGUACCGGAGAGGUCAUCGGAAUUCCUAGUGUAGCGGUGAAAUGCGUAGAUAUUAGGAAGAACACCAGUGGCGAAGGCGGAUGACUGGACGGCAACUGACGGUGAGGCGCGAAAGCGUGGGGAGCAAACAGG
rnacentral:rRNA from 1 species